AAAAUUAUCAUAAUUUAGUGACUUAAGUCAUGGAACAAAUGAUAAACUUGAAUUGCAUGUGCUGGGUGGUAUCCAAUGUUCCAACUGUUGGAUGACAUUCGGCAGGGUAUUGAUACAGCUCUAUGCCAAUGUGCCAUCUUAGAGCAUUACCUUUGGCCUGUAAUGGUUACCUGUUCGUUGGCAUAUAUUAUUAUGACAAGGAACCAGUAUAACCCAUUGUUUAUCUCCAAUAUAUGACUGAAGCCAGUGUUUCCGAGACUCAAAUCAAAUUUCAAAUAAUUGUAUCUGCAUGUUGUAUUUGUAUUCAAUAGUUUGCAUAUGCAGGCUAUUGUAUUUUGGUUUUCAAAGAUAGUAUGUGAACAAAAUCUUCCUAAGGCAAGUUGGACUUCUUUAAGAUCCAAUUAGCAUAGCUUAUAUGUUCAUUGAUGAUAUGUGAUCAGAAUUUUGAGGAACACAUUAAUUUUUGAAUUUAACGAGGAAGCAUUAUUUGACAACGAUAAUAUUUGAAAAUCAUAAUUCAUUAACUUGUAUAAUCCUUUAGUUUCAUCAUUAUGGUGUGAUGGUUUCAAAGGUUUUUAAAUACUGGUUGAACUGUUACAUAUGUAUCAUUUUUUACCAGUUUGGCCAAUUACUGAAAUUGAAAUGUGUAUUUUAAUACUGGUAAAUAUCAUUUUUAUUAUUUUAUUAAACCAUACCUAGCAGUACUGGCCAGUAUGGCAUCCAACAUAUGGUGUUAUAUAAGCACAAUAUAUUGCCGAAACUGGU
rnacentral:lncRNA from 1 species